AUAACUGGAGCCAUGACAAAUGGAAUACGAAGAUAAUAAUAAUAAUUGCAAUUGUUUAGGGUUCUUGUCGUGACUUUAGUCUUCCACGAUGUCGAAUAUUUUUUAUGGUAUCGAUAAAAUAGCACCACUUUUUUUUUGAAAUAACCAAGAACUCAAUAUGUAAAAAUAACCUGCGACGAAAUAGCCAGCCACCAACAAAAAAAAGAAUCAUCGCUACUCGAAUUCAAAAUCCAUGCAUGUAUAUAUUAGUACCAGUAGCUUGCUCAUUAGGUAUCAUUUCUAGUGCUCAAAUAGGCUUUGUAUUGUCAACCGGGUGAUCGAUUGAGAAUUUGGAUGCGAAAUGUUUCCAUAUACAAACACAAACAAAUUGAAUCAAUCAUAAGCAUUCAACGUGUUCUGACUGCCUGCACAAUAACGACAUAGAUUGCCCGUAACAUAGGGUCGUAAAUGGUGAUACGAUGGUAAAUGCGAACGCUUUCUACAUAUAAUUAACAACUAUGACGAGUGACUAGCUGUUUCGUCACAUGAACGGCAUUGUCUGUUAGGAUCAGCUAUUCGUCUUUAUUUACACAUAUAUAAAUGUAAGUAAAAACGCACGGGUCCUCCUGUACCACGAACAAAACUUGUAGCAUCAACUUAUCUGAUCCUUCUAGUACUUACGGGCAACAAGCGCGUCUGUACGAAUCUAUUCUGUUUCACAUGGAACAGAAUGAUCGACUUAUUCGUGAUGUUGAUGGUCGAUAUAUGGCCAGGUACAUAUACCUGUCCUGUAUUAACGUUCAAGAUGUAUGUAUAGGUGUUUUUCUCGUACGGAUACUGGCGUGUGUUCUACCAAUAUUAUUGUCACUGACGAUUUGCCUAGAAUACUUUCAGUCGUCGGGUAACCUGCUAAACUAGGUAAUCUUUUGCAGAAAGCAACGAUGUAAAAUGACAUGCAAAGAAUUUUUCAACCACGAGUGACUGUUUCAUGUAUUUAGUCCUUGCCUUAAUUACGAAUUACAUUAAUCAUUGCUUCUCGUUGUCUAAUUAUUCAAAACCGUUGGCAGGUAAGCUAGGGACAGUCGGUAGCUUUGAAUCACUUCGGCCCGCUACCUGCACAAGCUAAGCGCUGGCCAUUGCGACAUCCGUUCAUUCCGACGUGCCAAUCGCCUGAGUCCUGAGCUCCCAUUGUCAAAUGAACACCACCAUUGCUUUUGUUAACAUACCUCGGAAUGGAAGAAACGAUGUGUUUGGCGACCACAGUUCGCUCAAAGCAUGUCUGUGCUGCAGCAAGAAGGAUUCAAUUUAUGGCCUACUUGUUCGACACUAGCAGCGGCAAUAGCGACAGCAGUCCUGCUAUUGCCACAGAUUGGAGCCUCAAAUCGAACUGUGCGAGUGGGAAGUGAACGAUGGGAUACAGCGGCUCUUUUCACAGGAAACGCCACAUUCGUGUUGGGUUUUGCCUGUCGAAUUGGUCUUCCACCAAAACUGGACUUCCCCGUACCAAAAGACUAUUGCCAUGGUAUUAACGGAACAUGCGUUCGAGGCGUUUGCGUGUGCAGACGAGGCUACUAUCGUUAUUCAGACAACAGCUGCCAGCCAGGUGGGCUUUGCCCUUGAAAAUUUAUCUGUAAAAGUUAAAUCGUCUUAGUAUAGGCGAUUGACUGUUACCAUGCUAACUCAUUCAUCGUCAACAGUGUGUUAUCCUGUCGAAGUUGAUGUAUAUCAAGCAAAGCAUUUGAAGCUACCGUUUUCAAUAAUAUAUCUGAAAGCCGCUUGCAUCUCUUUUUCUCUCGAUCGAAUUUUCAGCUAAAUCAGGUCUUUUACACAUCGUAUUAUCCGUGCUAUCGUGGUUGCCUAUUACGUAUCUUUUGUUAGUGUUGACCGCAGCUAUGUACAACGCGUUUGUGCAAGGCGUGGCCAUGAUUAUCGAGCGGGAGGUGGGUAACGCUGUCCUUGAAGCGGGCUCGAGCUCAAUUACUUCAACAGUGCUGAACGACGCGUGGCAUCCAGACACCGGCGGAGCGAGGUCUACAAGCUGUACGAGUGGAGCAAAUAGCCGAAGG